rnacentral:rRNA from 1 species
GAUGAACGCUGGCGGCGUGCCUAAUACAUGCAAGUCGAGCGAACGGACGAGAAGCUUGCUUCUCUGAUGUUAGCGGCGGGCGGGUGAGUAACACGUGGAUAACCUACCUAUAAGACUGGGAUAACUUCGGGAAACCGGAGCUAAUACCGGAUAAUAUUUUGAACCGCAUGGUUCAAAAGUGAAAGACGGUCUUGCUGUCACUUAUAGAUGGAUCCGCGCUGCAUUAGCUAGUUGGUAAGGUAACGGCUUACCAAGGCAACGAUGCAUAGCCGACCUGAGAGGGUGAUCGGCCACACUGGAACUGAGACACGGUCCAGACUCCUACGGGAGGCAGCAGUAGGGAAUCUUCCGCAAUGGGCGAAAGCCUGACGGAGCAACGCCGCGUGAGUGAUGAAGGUCUUCGGAUCGUAAAACUCUGUUAUUAGGGAAGAACAUAUGUGUAAGUAACUGUGCACAUCUUGACGGUACCUAAUCAGAAAGCCACGGCUAACUACGUGCCAGCAGCCGCGGUAAUACGUAGGUGGCAAGCGUUAUCCGGAAUUAUUGGGCGUAAAGCGCGCGUAGGCGGUUUUUUAAGUCUGAUGUGAAAGCCCACGGCUCAACCGUGGAGGGUCAUUGGAAACUGGAAAACUUGAGUGCAGAAGAGGAAAGUGGAAUUCCAUGUGUAGCGGUGAAAUGCGCAGAGAUAUGGAGGAACACCAGUGGCGAAGGCGACUUUCUGGUCUGUAACUGACGCUGAUGUGCGAAAGCGUGGGGAUCAAACAGGAUUAGAUACCCUGGUAGUCCACGCCGUAAACGAUGAGUGCUAAGUGUUAGGGGGUUUCCGCCCCUUAGUGCUGCAGCUAACGCAUUAAGCACUCCGCCUGGGGAGUACGACCGCAAGGUUGAAACUCAAAGGAAUUGACGGGGACCCGCACAAGCGGUGGAGCAUGUGGUUUAAUUCGAAGCAACGCGAAGAACCUUACCAAAUCUUGACAUCCUUUGACAACUCUAGAGAUAGAGCUUUCCCCUUCGGGGGACAAAGUGACAGGUGGUGCAUGGUUGUCGUCAGCUCGUGUCGUGAGAUGUUGGGUUAAGUCCCGCAACGAGCGCAACCCUUAAGCUUAGUUGCCAUCAUUAAGUUGGGCACUCUAAGUUGACUGCCGGUGACAAACCGGAGGAGGGUGGGGAUGACGUCAAAUCAUCAUGCCCCUUAUGAUUUGGGCUACACACGUGCUACAAUGGACAAUACAAAGGGCAGCGAAACCGUGAGGUCAAGCAAAUCCCAUAAAGUUGUUCUCAGUUCGGAUUGUAGUCUGCAACUCGACUACAUGAAGCUGGAAUCGCUAGUAAUCGUAGAUCAGCAUGCUACGGUGAAUACGUUCCCGGGUCU